GCCUGAGUUAAUUUGCUAAACCAUUGUCUGCUUGCCUGUUUAAGUCCAUAGAGUGACUUUUGAAGAUGACAGACUUGGUUGGGUUUAGAGCUUGAAAAACCAGGUGGUAGUACCAUAUACACUUCUUCAUAGAGGUCACCAUGAAGAAAUGCAUUAUUGACAUCAAGUUGUUGUAAAAUCCAGUUGUUGGCAGAAGCAAUUGCCAAUAGCAAUCUGACUGUAGUCAUCUUAGCAACUGGACUGAAUGUAUCAAAGUAAUCCACACCCUCUUGCUGAGUGUACCCUUUUGCAACUAAACGUGUCUUAUGCCUUUCAAUUGUCCCAUCUGCUUUAUAUUUGAUCUUAAAAACCCAUUUGCAACCUAUUGGAGUCUUGCCAGGAGGUAACUCAGUAAUAUUCCAAGUUUUAUUUUCCUCAAGAACUUGGAUUUCAACCUGCAUAGCCUUUCUCCAACAAUCAUGUUUUACAGCUUGUUGAAAAGUUUUAGGUUCAUCAUGAGCAGUAAUAGAGAGAACAAAAUGUUUAUAUGCAGGAGAAAGAUGAGAAUAUGAAAUGACAGACUCUAAGGGAUAAAGAGCACCUGGUAGAUCAUCAGUAAUAGCUGAAUUAGAAAUAAGAUUGCAAUGGUAAUCCUGCAAG
rnacentral:misc_RNA from 1 species